rnacentral:rRNA from 1 species
GACGAACGCUGGCGGCGUGCUUAACACAUGCAAGUCGAACGCUGAAGCUCAGCUUUUGUUGGGUGGAUGAGUGGCGAACGGGUGAGUAACACGUGAGUAACCUGCCCCCUUCUUUGGGAUAACGCCCGGAAACGGGUGCUAAUACUGGAUAUUCACUGGUCUUCGCAUGGGGGUUGGUGGAAAGGGUUUUUCUGGUGGGGGAUGGGCUCGCGGCCUAUCAGCUUGUUGGUGGGGUGAUGGCCUACCAAGGCUUUGACGGGUAGCCGGCCUGAGAGGGUGACCGGUCACAUUGGGACUGAGAUACGGCCCAGACUCGUACGGGAGGCAGCAGUGGGGAAUAUUGCACAAUGGGCGAAAGCCUGAUGCAGCGACGCUGCGUGAGGGAUGGAGGCCUUCGGGUUGUGAACCUCUUUCGCUCAUGGUCAAGCCGCAACAAUGGUUGUGGUGAGGGUAGUGGGUAAAGAAGCGCCGGCUAACUACGUG